rnacentral:hammerhead_ribozyme from 1 species
GGACUGCUGAAGAGUCCCAUACUAGGACGAAAUGGUCGUCAAGUGC